UUUUUUUUUUCUGCUUCCUAGGACAUAUUUGAAAACAAGAGAAAUCUCACUGAAUACCACCUGCUAAAACACUUUCCAAAUUUAUUAUAGCAAAUUUUAAUACAUUCUGAUUUUUCUCUUUGCCUGGGAGGAUGUGCCCCCUGGAGUAACUGGGCCCAGAGAAGUUGCCCUGUUUGCCCCGCGUUAAAGACGGCCCUGAGUGACAGAAAGGGUUAUUACCUCUUUUGCACCACUGGGCGAUUACGGGGGGUUCCUUGACAGAGAGGGAAGCUAUAGUGCCAGGAAAAGUCUCUGAUAAUCUUCCAUUGGCUCCAUUCUUUAAAGCCAUCUCCCUUCACUAUAUCCUCUGCUGAGCUCUCCCCCUGCAGUACUCAUCCAGGUAGCAAAAACCAAAACAAACCAAAAUCUCAUCCAGGUAGCAACUGAAAGCACUGCUCCCUAGCCAGGUAGGACUUUGUCUUAUACUCUGCAUAAAGAAAUUUAAUUAAACUGUUUAGUAGUAAUGUUUUACUUUUAGCACUGCAGUUCCUACUGACUACGUUUCACGUGAGACUCAGACAGCCAUUUAGCUGGCUGUGUCUUGACAAAUAUAAUGUACUUGAACUGGAGUGUUAAUGGUAUGGCAAACAGGUUAUCAAGCAUAACAAUGAAUAUUUUUACAAUUCUUUGACAAGCAAGUAAGGCACAAUAGCAAGAUGUAAGGCAUAGUACAAGUGUCACUGUUACAUACAAUGUGGCUAGUACUCUGCACUUUUUUGUAUUAUUACCGAACAUGAACUUAGUCCUAGAGGACGUGGGAAUACAUGACUAAUUAUAGAGACAUUUACAUAGAGCACCGUUGUCCUAGUCUAGGCACAUUAGUUCGAGUAUGAACGUGAGUAGGACUACGUGAGAAUGUUUUAGAACAGAUAUACUGGAUUUCUAACAAUGAACAAGCUUAAAAACAAAAUUAAUAUGGGCAUUAGCAGCAAAAUAAAGGGAUACUAUAUGCACAAAAACAACUUUGGGUAAACAGCAGUUUUGGUGUAUAGAUCAUGCCCCUGCAGUCUUACAACUCAAUCUCUGGCAUUUAGAAGUUAAAUUAUUUUGUUUGUGCAGCCCUUGCCUAUGACUUAUACAUCUUUCCUAACCAACUCCUGUAAAGAGAAAUCUAAUGUUUAAACUUCCUUUUUUGCACAGUGUGUUUAAUGUUGAAAUUUUUACGUCCUUCUCUGUUACUGGCCUGCUAAAGCCUGCAGGUGCCUCAUGAUUGUAAUUAAAGGACCAUGCAGCACCCAUAGAGCACUUCAGCUUCCUUGAUGGGUGAAGAGUUUCC